CUGGGAGCUUCCCAUCUUGCCCAGAGUUACCUGGCUAGUACACGGCAGCAUGGAGCUUCAGACUGUGGCUGGCUGAUUCCAGACAGAAUAACGUGCCACAAACCCCGGUUUAUUCCAGUGCUGUCCUCACAGAGGUAACUGGGAAGUAUUUCAGCUGAGAUUUAAUAAGCGUUUGCUGAGCCUCUAGCGUAUGUGAGCCGCUGUACCAGAUAAUGUCACAUACACUAUUCCAUCCGAAUUCAAAGAACCCCUGCGAGCGAUGUGAAAUUCUACCCAUUUUACAGAUCAAGAAACUGAGGCUCAUAGAAGGGUGGAAAACACAAGAUGACAGAAACAAACAGUAGAUAACAUCUAAGGACUGACCACACAAUGUCGUCACGUAUGUUUUCCAAGACCAAGGACUCCAGAGGCCAUGAGACCCAAGAGCCCUGGCUCCGGGACAUAAGGGACUUUGGGAGGACUCAAGGAGGACCUGAACACUCAUCUGUGUUGGACCAGUUCCUGGAUGCCUGAGAAGACAUGUACACCAGACCACCAUCCUCAGGAAGAACCCCUGACCCCAAGCAAAACUGAAAUUCUUCUUUCCUUUCUGAGUCACCCAGACACUGUCUGUACCUGCAUUCUCCAUCUACCCUCAAUAAACUCUACUCUC